UGGGAUGUAACUCAGUGGCAGAGUACUUGCUUAGCAUGCAAAAGGCCCUGGGUUCCAUCCCCAGCACUGCAA
rnacentral:tRNA from 1 species